rnacentral:rRNA from 1 species
UACAGAGGGGGCAAGCGUUGUUCGGAAUUACUGGGCGUAAAGGGCGCGUAGGCGGCCUUCUAAGUCGAACGUGAAAUCCCCGGGCUCAACCCGGGAACUGCGUCCGAUACUGGAAGGCUUGAAUUCGGGAGAGGGAUGCGGAAUUCCAGGUGUAGCGGUGAAAUGCGUAGAUAUCUGGAGGAACACCGGUGGCGAAGGCGGCAUCCUGGACCGAGAUUGACGCUGAGGCGCGAAAGCCAGGGGAGCAAACGGG